GGGGAGGUUGAACGGGAAAUGGUGGCUGGAAGAGGAGGUGGAGAAGGAGAGAGAGACACAAACACCAGUCUUCUCUCAUAUACUUAGUUACUGUAACCAACACAUGAUUAAACUGUCAAGAUCUUGAGGCACAGACCAUAUCAGAGAUUUCUCUCAUUGGCUCUGUUAUCAACUGCCCAUGACAAACACUUGAAAGAGGGGAGGUGGAGCUGGAAAUGGUGACAGAAGGAGGAGGAGGAGAAGGAGAGAGACGUUUGAAAGCAUGACCAUUAUUCCCAUUCCACCAUAACAAAAGGUACAGGAGAGGAGAGCAACACUUCAGAAUCACCCAGCAACUACGUAGAGAGAGCACUGGACCGGGACAAUUCCUGGUUCUGCCACGGGACUGCUGGGUGACCUUGGCCCAGGAAGGAGAGUGCUGAGUGGCCUGAAGGUGUCUACUAUGAAGGAAAAAGUGAUGGUGAUGUGGAAGAGGUGAACCUCUCCAUGACCCUCGGACGUAUGCAGUGACAGUAAAUCAAGGAGCUGUGCAGUAGCUUCGCGCCAAUGUUCUCAGCCACCCCAGGAUGGACCGAACGGGUAUACCAUACCUUUGACACAGCUGCGAACGGACACGCUCCAGCGCCUUGUGGAUGUUCUGCAGGUCCGGAGGCAGGAGGACAGAGCCCCGCUGCAGUCUCUCUCUAACUGCCCUCCCCCGCCACAAAGUCCCAUACCCCCCUCACCCAAAGUCCCAAGAAGGAGGGGCGGCAGAGGCCGUGAAAACUCACUCCACCCCUGCAGACCGCUCAAGUAACAGAAGGCUGUCAUUCCCCAAAAUUUGAUAAGUCCUUUCCAAGCCCCCGUCCCAGUUUCAUCCCCUAAGUGUGUAGUUGCUAAUAAAAAAUAUGUUUGUUAAUUACUGUUUCCAUCAUGUGCUU